rnacentral:rRNA from 1 species
UACGAAGGGGGCUAGCGUUGCUCGGAAUCACUGGGCGUAAAGGGCGUGUAGGCGGGAGAGAAAGUCGGGCGUGAAAUCCCUAGGCUCAACCUAGGAACUGCACUCGAAACUUCUUUUCUUGAGUGCCGGAGAGGAAAGCGGAAUUCCUGGUGUAGAGGUGAAAUUCGUAGAUAUCAGGAGGAACACCAGUGGCGAAGGCGGCUUUCUGGACGGUAACUGACGCUGAGACGCGAAAGCGUGGGGAGCAAACAGG